AUUGAACGCUGGCGGCAGGCCUAACACAUGCAAGUCGAACGAGUGGCGGACGGGUGAGUAAUGUCUGGGAAACUGCCUGCUGGAGGGGGAUAACUACUGGAAACGGUAGCUAAUACCGCAUACCAUCAGAUGUGCCCAGAUGGGAUUAGCUAGUUGGUGGGGUAACGGCUCACCAAGGCGACAAUCCCUAGCUGGUCUGAGAGGAUGACCAUCCACACGGGAACUGCGACACGGUCAAGACUCCUACGGGAGGCAGCAGUGGGGAAUCUUGCACAAUGGGCGCAAUCCGGAUGCAGCCAUGCCGCGUGUAUGAAGAAGGCCUUCGGGUUGUAAAGUACUUGCAGCGGGGAGUCGUUACCCGCAGAAGAAGCACCGGCUAACUCCGUGCCAGCCGCCGCGGUAAUUC
rnacentral:rRNA from 1 species